rnacentral:rRNA from 1 species
UACGUAGGGGGCUAGCGUUGUCCGGAAUCAUUGGGCGUAAAGCGCGUGUAGGCGGUCCGGUAAGUCCGCUGUGAAAAGUCGGGGGGCUCAACCCUCGGAUGCCGGUGGAUACUGUCGGGCUUGAGUACGGAAGAGGCGAGUGGAAUCCUGGUGUAGCGGUGAAAUGCGCAGAUAUCAGGAGGAACACCAAUUGCGAAGGCAGCUCGCUGGGACGUUACUGACGCUGAGACGCGAAAGCGUGGGGAGCAAACAGG